ensembl:lncRNA TTTY2 testis expressed transcript, Y-linked 2
AGGCUUGCCAUCACCACAGAUGGCCUCUGAGACACUGUUUGAACCACAUCUGCACCUGUGAGAGGCCAGUUUGAGGUAUGAGAACACUGUUUCAAUUUGGACUUGCCUUUGUCUUGGUUCCUGCUUUUCCCAGAUAGCACCUACCCAACCCAGGAUGAAUGAGUGCAGAGAGGUCAAGUGCCAGGCCAUCUUUUGCUGACACCCUUUUCUGGUAUUUCAGGUAUAAGUCCAUCAUCCAAAGACUGCUCAACAUCUCACCAGAAUAUAUUUCAAUCCUCAUGGGGCAUGAUUCUUUCACAAAACCCCUUUCAGGAAUGGAGUCAGAAGAGUAGUUUCCAGAGACAACCUCACAGUCUUGAAACGGCUCUGCCUCCCAUGUGAUCUGACCAUGGAGAUGGCAUAUAAGGGCCCUAAGUUUGAGACUUUUAGGGUACUGCAAUGCGUUAUCACAGGCAGCCUUUAUCCUGAUACCAAGCCAGCUCUGCCUGUACCAUUUUCCUCUGCUUAGGCAGGCUGACAGCCCUGACACCCUGGUGCUCCAGUUUGAGUCACUAUAUGUGGAUGUGCUAGUCUUAGGGCAAUGGACCUGAGCUGUGAGCUGUAGCUAGUGUCACAAUGAAUGCCAGCUUUGCUAGUAACAAUUCCCUUUGGCUUGGUAGAGAAGGAGACCUCUGUGGAGGUACAAUGGUGGUGCACUGUCACCUGUCUUCUCUGUGGGAUCCAUGGGACAGUUCCAUGAUCCUAGGAGAGGGUAGAUGUGAGCCAGCCUGAAGAAAUGUCAAGCAGAGCCCCAGGAAUGAAGCACAAAAUCACUACAGAUCCAAAAGGAUCUGCAGAAUUUGUCAGGCCUGCCUAGACAUUGUAGGGGUUAGUCUUAUUGAAAUGUGUCCCACUGUAAUUUCCAACUUCAGCCUUCCUGUGUUCCCAGCAGUUUCUCUCUCCCAGGUGGGGCUUUCUGCAGAAUGACACAGCCUCAGAAGCUACUGGGCUGUGUGUUACUGUGGGAGUGUUGCGAGUGUUGGAUGUCAGCAUGUGUGUGUGGCUUUGUGUGUUUGUGUAUGUGUCUGUGUGUGUGUAUGUAAAUGAAUUCUGUGGAUCAGGAAUCAGCAAUGACUAGUUAAGCUGUCUGUGACCAGCCGGGUUCCCCAUCGUCUGCCCCUGCCAAAAAAACAGGUACUCUUCUACAAAGAAGAGGAGAGCACCACACCCAAGAACAGACAUCUCCCAGUGUUGCAUUAUAAAGCAGCCAACCCACAGACACUAGCACUCUGGUCUGCAUAGCCCCUUUAAUUUACCUAGAAUUCAGUUCCCAGCCAAGUAGGUGCUUCAUGUCCUGAGGGUGCAAUCCUCCAUCAUCUUGAGAUUUCAUGCUGGUACAGAGAGUGUGACAGCAAUAAGGUCAGAUAGGGGUGAGUAUACAACCUGGUGAAGGGUGGAUGGGGUCCCGUACCUUCACCAGCAAAAAGGGUGAAAAUAGAUGACACAGAAUGUGCUUCCAACUCCAUCCCCACAUUCCCAUAAUUGCAAAAUCAGUCAACAACAUGGCCUGGUGUUUAGGUGGGAGUACUCCAACCUGCAGGAAAAAUUUGGAGUGCAAAUUGUGGCCAAUCUGGAAAACUCCUGGUUUGAGGGUUUUAAUACCUGUAGUCAAAUGGAAGUGGAAUAGAUUGAUGCUGGGUGGGUUGUGGCCUCCACAUUUGUGUCCUCUUUUACUGACUUCCAUUGUCCUCAUUGGUGUAGGGCUUCCUGGAUCUGGCUCAACAUCUUCCACACUAAACUCUUCCCUGUUCACAGAAGACCAUCAUAAAAAUGCAUUGUAGAGGCCCUGCAAGGACCAGGAUGAAGGGAGACAGUGAGGUCAAGAGCCCAGCCAUCUUUCACUGACACCCACUUCUGGGUUCUCAGGCUGGCUGACAGGUCUGACAGCCCAUCACGAAAGCCUGCAUACUCUUAGACACAAGGACUGAGCUAUGGGCUCCAGCUAGCAUCACAAUGAAGGCCACCAUUGCCUAGGGAUAAGUCCCUGUGACUUUGUGGAUAAGAACUCCGUGGAGCCAAUCCAAGGAGAGACACUAUCAUUCAUCUCUACCGGGCCUAUUAAAUUUACCUCGAAUUUGAUUCCCAGAGGAGUUGGUGCUUCACAUCAUCAGGGGGAACUUCUCCAUUGUCUUGGGAUUUCAGUCUGGGAUAGAGACUUUGAACAGCAAUAAGUUUCCUUGGUCUGGCUCAACGUCUUCUAAACUCAACAUUCCCCAGUUCAUGGAAAAUGAUCCUCAUGGGAUUCUAUUGUAAAAGCUGCAUGAUUCCUGGAGAAUGUUUUAUUGUCCUGAAGUCAACCCAAAAAUCAACACUACCAGUCAUGUUGCAGAGCUCCUUGAAUUAACCUUGAAUUCAGUUUCCAGCUGAGCAGCUGCUUCACGUUGUGAGGGGGCAAUCCUCCAUCAUCCUGGGAUUUCAUUCUGGGACACAGAGUUUGAGCAGCAAUAAGGCUGGGUCCACAUUGCCCCUCAACAGCAUUAGUGGACAUGAUUGUCAGACUUGCAAUUUCCGCAGACACCUUCUGUGAACAUUUUUCAACAUCAUCUACAUGAGUGAGAGACCCGUUCGACAUGUAAGAAUACUGCUUGACUUUGGACCUGCCUUUGUCGUGGUUCCUGCCUUUCUCAUAGAUCCCCUGCCAGGCCCAGGAUGAUAGGAGGCAAUGAAGUCAAGGGCCGAGCCCCAUUCAUUGAAAGCUGACUCUGGGGUCUCGGGUAUAAUUCCAUCACAUAAAAUCCCCUCAACAACUCACCAGACUAUAUUCCAAUCUCCAUGGAACCUGAUUCUUGCACACAGCCUCUUUCAGGAAUGGAGUCAGAAGAGCAGUCUUCAGAGACCACCUCAGUUUGGAAAAGCCUCCUCCUUCAGUGGUUCCCAGCCAUGGAGUCAUCGUGAAGGGGCUCCAUGGUCAAUAAUUUUACGGUACUGCACUUGGUUAUCACAGACAGACUUUUUCAUGAUAGCAUGCCAUCUCUGUCUAUAUCAUUUUCCUCUGCUUAGGCAGGCUGACAACUCUGACAGCCAGGGGCCCGAAUCUACCUGGCAAAUGUGCAUGCUCUACUCUCAGUGCAAAAGGCCUGUUUGGGAGUUCUGACUAGUGUCACAAUAAAUGCCGCCAUUGCCUAGUGA